UAUUCUUCUUUUCGUGUUAUCUUGAAGUUUGUUGUGAAAUGCGAGUUUGUUUGAGAAUGUUUUGUCCUAUAUUUUACUUUGUAUAAAAAAUGAUGUACUACAAUCUUGGUCGGGUUACUCUUAAAUUCCUCACGCUCCCUCCCAACUCCUCCUUCGCCAUCUUCUACUCCCGCCGCCACUGUCACUCCCUUGAAAACCUUGUCCAACCGCACAGAUCUCUCUCCGAAGCCUUGGCGCCGUCGACUGCUGGCUCCAACCUUGCUCCCAAAGCCGAUCUCGCCGGCUUCCCGAUUCAGUAGCGGCGAGAGGCAGGGCUUUGCUGUUGGAGAUUACCGACGACGAUUCCGACUCCGACGGUGCUGAAAUCGGAGCUGCUGACGGAAUGAAGAAAUGUGGAUCGUUGGAUGAGAUGACGAUUGACUGCUUUGUGGAUGAUGAAUACGGGGAUGGACUAGAACAGCUCAACAUUCAGCGUCUGCUUCGAGCCAUGGCUUGAAAUUCUGCGUUCCAUCAACUUCUUGCAGCUUAGCAGAAACAAUAUUAGACUGAAGAUAUCCUUGCGGAAAAUGCUUCUGCGUGUGCCAGCUCGACAACUGAUCUGCUUCAAAAAUUCGUCCCCAAGCACUGGCUUUCGUAUUUGCAACCCCAAGUGCUGUCAUCGGCUCAUCGCCACACUUGGUAAUCCACACAACGAUUUCUGUAUUCUUUUUUGAAACAUCGGGUACAUAUUGUUUCGUUCCUCUUCACCUUGAUCUUGUUGUGCUGCUAGGACCUGUGGGAACCAAAACCUGAGUCUGCAAGGUCACAUCCACCCACCUGCAAUCCUCUGAGUUUUCAUCGCAACCUAUAUAUGUGGUAUUCAGAUUAUCCAGUCACGCAAUGGCCUCUUGUCCCUAAGUUUCGUACAGCUAGUGCUAGACUUCUUUUUAAUGUUCUUGAUCCCCAGGCCACAAAUCACCAAGUUCUCCUCAGUUACUGUAUCUACUGCGACCCAAAUCCUUGUUUAUGCUUUGGCUUUUAACCACUUUCAAAUCACCUUAUCACAACUGCAACGAAUAACCAGUUGCAGGCCGCUGAUGUCCGUACUAUCACAUUGUGAUAUAUUUUUCUAAGACUCAAAAGUUGGAGGUUUAUCAAUUCCUCUUUCAGAUCUAGUGUUCAAAUCCAUUACAAAGUUGGCAUAUACUGCAAUGGCGCAGUUCAUUGUGUAGGCAUUGAUUAUGAGAUGUCAUACUAUCACAUAGAUGAGGAUUGAAGAGUGUUGGAUGGUUUCCCUACGAGUUUGUCUAGAUAUUUAGGGAGGGAGUCUCAUGGUGGCCGGUGGCCGUUUGCAUUUAAUUCAUGAUAUUCAUAUACAAUGUGCUACUGCCCAAUGGGGAAAGACUACUCUAGCUAACAUGUCCAGAGGAAAAUGAAGAAGGUGAGGAAUGUUCAUCUCUGUUGCUGCUCUGUACUCCUGGCGGCUAUGAAAGCUAAUUGUCGAUGAGACUAUUACUACGUAUAUUAUGGCUAUGAAUGAUUUGCUUUAA